GACGAACGCUGGCGGUAUGCUUAACACAUGCAAGUCGAACGAGAAGUCUUUUAUUGACCCUUCGGGGGAUAUAAGAGACAGACAGUGGCGAACGGGUGAGUAACGCGUGGGCAACCUACCUAUCGGAGCGGGAUAGCCUCGAGAAAUCGGGAGUAAAACCGCAUAACACGGAUAUAUCGCAUGAUGAAUCCGUCAAAACUCCGGUGCCGAUAGAUGGGCCCGCGUCUGAUUAGCUAGUUGGUAAGGUAAGGGCUUACCAAGGCAACGAUCAGUAGCCGGUCUGAGAGGGCGAACGGCCACACUGGAACUGAGACACGGUCCAGACUCCUACGGGAGGCAGCAGUGGGGAAUAUUGCGCAAUGGGGGCAACCCUGACGCAGCAAUACCGCGUGAGUGAAGAAGGUUUUCGGAUCGUAAAGCUCUGUUAUUGGGGAAGAAGCAGUGACGGUACCCAAUGAGGAA
rnacentral:rRNA from 1 species